UUUCUACGCGCCCCUGUUAAACACGCGGGGCCUUUCGCUCGCUCGUUCCAGUCACAAGCGCCAAGGCUUCUCCCCAACAAAAAAACAUCUUCCCUGACAGAAAGGGCUGACAGACUGGAAACCAGUAAUACGCAUCAUCACGUUGCCAUAACUUAACACCUGCUGCGAAGCAGAGCGGAGAGAAAUUGCUUCAAGCAGAAGGGAGGGAGGAGAGCAGAAUAUGGCAGAGAAACAGGGGAGGGGAAAAGAAAAAAAAUAAAAUCUUUUUCCACCCUGCCCCUCGGAGAGAAGCGACGUGCAGGCGAGCAACGCGACCGAGCGCCGGGCAGGCGAGGCGGCACGGCGGGCCGUUUCGUAACCGCCGCGGGAGCCGCUGCCCGCACCGCGCCUCGCAAGAGUUAACAGCCUGAGGAAGGCACCGGUGCUGGCAUCCUCCCCCAGAAAACCAGUACCAGCUCCUCUGUUGGUGGCACAGCUUCCCUCUUCCAAGGAGCAAAGCCCCCACGGAGCUGCCACGCUGCUCUGACACGGGUGCCACAGCCCGCUUAGCAGCAGCUUAAUUCUGCUACAGAUACCAACAACAGAAAAUUCUGUGACAGCACCUUUUCUUAAACCACACAAAUGAGGGCUGUGCUACAGGGCACAGUUUAAUCCUCCAAGGCAAAAAUGAGGUCUUGCUGCAUUUCACUAUAAACAGAAAAAUGUCCCUUACGUGCUUUAAAAAAAUUGCAUCUUUGCAUUCUGUGGCUGUAUCACAAGAGAGAUACCAGACGUGCAGUCUAUGGGUAUUUACAACAGAAACUCUCUGAUCGCUAAAUUAAACAUCGCUUGGUAAAAUCAACAUCACAAAACAAUAACAUAUGUUAUUGUACCCCGUUUCCCAUGAAAGGGAUGCAGUUCCCAAGUAAAAUUCGUAUUUAAGGGGUUUCCAUCCAACAUUAAGGUCUAACUGUGCUUACGACACGCGCACACACACACGGACUCAAAAGCACUGGCUGACAUGCCCUCCAGGGCGAGUUGCGGUAUGUGCAAUUCAGUUAUAAAAACAGGGACUCAGUUAUUCUGUCAUCGAUGGGUCCACGUUCAGCUCUUCACUCUGACUAGACCUGGUGGAGUGAUCGUAUCAAAAGGGCAACAUUCUUGGGGAAGAAUAGGAAAAGCAAGAGAUGGCAGUAAGAGGAACUGGGAUGCCAAGGUAAACCGGAGGUGUUUGCCAGCAGUGAACAUCGCCUUUUAGCAGCACGCACACCAUGAGUAAGAUCCUUACUAAAGAGAUGCAACAACAUAAAUUACAGUCGCUAUGCUAUAUUGGAAGCUUUGUACUGUUUCAAACUUCUGAUUGUCAUCUUAAGAGUGAGGUUUAGAUCAGGUACUGCCCAAAACCAGGUUGAAAAUAAGCGCGUGCGAGAAUGCUAAUAAGCUUGUGUAAUAACAAAAGUGGAUGCUGGGAGGGAAGCGAGUGGCUGUGGGGGGCGCUGGGUUUCCCGAGCCCGUGACAGGUAACUCACCCAGCUGUGUACAUCACCAGGUCUCUCAUACCAAAGGGCCAUUUGAUGCACACCCAGAUACACAUUUGGACAGGUAUUUCAGAUAUUUGUUAAUUAUGCGUGCCCCAUCAAGGAAAACAACUGUACAACUCUAAACGUUUGUUUGUAUCGUUGACAUACGAGAGAAAAGCAUACUUAAUUUGCCUGGGGUGCUGUGCAGUUUAAAAAUAUUAAUUAGAACUAUGAUCCUCAUUUGCCCAUAAGCUCAUGAGUGUAAUUUUAAACACACAGCUCAGUUAAACAAAUACUUUCAAACAUGUCUACAAUAAAACCAUUCCACAGAGCUAGGGUCAUGGCACCAUAUCUUGUUUAAAAUUAAUCCACUCAGCAGAAAGUUUCAGAGUCAGAUUUGGCCAGGGAAAUAGAGAAAAAGACCAAAUUAUAACAUGGGAAAGAAAACACCAGGUAAGAAAGAAAAGGCAGAAAUGGAUGAGAAAAUACCAGGCCAGGCUGAAACUAUUUAAGGGCAAUGGUGAUGACAGAUGCUUUCUGGAGUGUCUACAGGAACCAGAUCGCGUUGGAUGUAGAAAGCACAUUAAAGUCGAAGCACAGACUCGGGCUCCCUUUUGCUGAUUCUUAUUUGACAGUGAAAAACUCUGGCAGAGUAGUGAAACAGAGGGCUAAGGGCUUUAAUGCCUGGAAACACCACAGUUCACCAAAGGACAUCUCUCAGCACACUGAGAUACUGCUUUAGGCCUUUUUAUUUCAACAAUAUAAAGUGUGGCUACGGUAAUGUCUCGGGGGUUCAGGUGAUCCUUAUCUUUGCUGAGCUACAGACUUGUGCCUUAUCUUAGCAGCCCUUUGAUGGAAUUAUAAUAAUUGUAAUUCACAUUCGUCUAUCACUCUGGAUCUUAAUGGAUGCCUAAUGGAUGACUGGCCUGAGGAUCAAUAGUAUCACAUCUUGUCUACUUGGGAUGAGAGAACUGGAUGUUAAAAUAAAUACUUUUACUAUGCUAAAGAUGCAGAAAUAAUGAGCGGAUCAAUACAAACAAAGUUUACCCAUAGGUGAGAAGGCCCCGCACGCAGCACGGAUGGGACCCGACUGUUCUGCAGAUGCAGCCUACUUUACAAGUACAUGCGUCUGCAUGCUUUUUAAGUAGCAUAAUAAAUCACACAACAUUUUCCACAACUAAAUUCUUCCUAAUCUAACCAGACAAUUCUUAAACCUUUAAUGGGCCUAUGAUUGUAAAAUCAUUUCGUCUGGGUUUUUGAGCAGUAAUCUUCAAAUUACGGGUCUGUAACAGCAAUAAUGGAAUGUGUCAUAAAAGAGUUUUUCCUCAGUGAGUCUAUUAUUGUAAUAAAAUAAUGUAUCUAGUCACCUCUAUAUUCCACAUUAACCCUUUUUAUGAUAAUUAUAAGUAAAGUGCAUCUCUCAUUUCCAUUAAAUAAUAUCCUUGCAUCUCACUGAAACAGUAGACUAUAUAGGACUGAAAGCAAAGCAACAGAUGCACAUUCUUUUUUAGCAGAUUCUAUCCAUGCCACUAACUUGUUGUUAAGAUAAAACCCACUCGGUUUAGAAUUAUUCCUAUACUUCGGUGUUCACGUAAGACUAACUGAAAAUUCUGAGUCCUGAUUUUCAGUUACAUACUUUUGUGUUCACAGAAAUAUAUGUACAAAUUAGAAAAUUAUAUAUGAAGUUACAUAUACAUAUGCUCCAGCAGAACCCAUUCUAGGUGCUUUACUUCAGGAUGAUUUACAGAUCAUUUAAAAAUCACUUUAAAAGAGUUACACCAAGCUGAACCAUUGUUGCAAGCCAAGUGUCAAGCCUUCAUAUCCCGUUUCAUUAGUAGAAGCUAAACAUAUAUGCUGGAGCUACAGGCACGUUCAUUCAUUUUAAUGCUUUUGACAGAACUGGAUCACAAAAAAGUCAUGUAACACCACCAAAAUAAAGUUCUGAUAAAGUUUUA